rnacentral:tRNA from 1 species
AUCAAAGUGGUGUAGUGGAAGCAUGAUGGGCACAUAAUCUAUAGGUCAAGAUCAAAACUUAGCUUUGUUG